GACAACUUGUCCGAGUGGUUAAGGAGUAUGACUCGAAAUCAUAUGGGCUUUGCCCGCGCAGGUUCAAAUCCUGCAGUUGUCG
rfam:Phycomyces blakesleeanus NRRL 1555(-) unplaced genomic scaffold PHYBLscaffold_10, whole genome shotgun sequence.